rnacentral:rRNA from 1 species
UACGUAGGGGUGCAAGCGUUAAUCGGAAUUACUGGGCGUAAAGCGCACGUAGGCGGAUCGUUAAGUCGGGGGUGGAAUCCUGGAGCUCAACUCCAGAACUGCCUUACGAUACUGGCGAGCUCGAGUUCGGGAGAGGUGAGUGGAACUGCGAGUGUAGAGGUGAAAUUCGUAGAUAUUCGCAAGAACACCAGUGGCGAAAGGCGGCUCACUGGCCCGAUACUGACGCUGAGGUGCGAAAGCGUGGGGAGCAAACAGG